CCUUGCUGCCGAGAGGUGGCUCCCCUCAAAUGCAUCGGUUGGGCCUGUGGGUCGAACUCGAUUGGGUGUUGUAUUAUCCUCGCUCUAACGAGAUGUUCCCCUCCUUUGCGCCCCUCCACGACCUGCCUUCAUGAGCGGCGGGUCAAGCAAAACUUUGAAAUUCUGACCUCAAAUCAGGUAGGACUACCCGCUGAACUUAA
rnacentral:misc_RNA from 1 species